rnacentral:lncRNA from 1 species
AUGUUAAAGUCAGCUGUAAAAGCAAAAGAUGCAGCAUAUGAAAAUUUUCGAAAUGAUUUAAAUAACCACUUGAAAAGGAGACAGUCAGAUAGUGGUAAUAAGAAGAAUCCUAGCUUAAAAGAAAGUAUUGAAUAUGAAAGAAAAAAUAAUUACGAGUUAUAUAUAGACGACUCAGGUGCACUACAACAAGAACGUUGCAGUGUAGGUGAACCAAGACAAAUAUUAAAACAAAAUUUUGAAAACUUCAGAUAUUUAGUAAAUGAUUUAGAAAUUAUUUUCGGAGUUUAUAAAUUCAAUGCAUACGAUAAAGAAAAAGUAUUAAAAGAAACCUUAAAAAAAGAGUCAUUAUGUUUUACUAUUCUUGGAUUAUUAUUAAAUAAAAUAAAUGAAAUAAAAGUGAGUGAUUUAUCUGUUUAUGGUUUUUUGAUUAAUGGAAAAAGGGAUGUAAACAAUAAUGUCCAUAAAACACUAGAUAUAAAUAUAAUUUUAUCAAAUGUCACUGUCCCAUUAGGUGUAUUUGAUUUUCCUGAGGUUGUUUAUUGGCCAUACCAAAUACCAUUUUUAGUUGGUCACUAUGAUAAAAAUGUACAAUUUUCAAAGAAUUCUUCUUUUUCUUAUACUUGUUCUCUUCCAGCAUUUUUAACUGAUGUUAUAAAAACUACAACCACAGGAUUAAAAUUUAAUUUUAACGGAGAAGAUUUAAAUGUAAAUUUAUUAUUUCCUGCUACUUUACAACAUGCUAUAGAGAAUCCUAAGAAUUUACCAAUCCUAAAAGAAGAUGAAUAUAAAUAUGGAAGAAAUGAUUUGUUAAGUUUAAUUUAUAAUUAUAGAACAGAAAUUCCAAUUAUAAUGAUGAAAAACAAUGGACCAACAGAUAAAGCUAUAGUAGAACCAAGUCAAAGAAUAUUAGCAAAUGUUAGUUUUGCUAAAGCAAGAGAAGAAAUUAAAGACGCCCUGUCCCGUGCAAAAUAUAUUGACAUAGAUUCAAAUUCUUUACCACUUUACUUUAUAUUUUUAAGUGCAAAUUUAAAUUAUACAGUAAAUGAAAAAACAUCUAAUAAUGGAUUCAUAAGCAAAAUAAAAAUUAGUAAUAUAAAAAUAGAUGAUAAUGGAAACUUAAAAUCGUAUAGUAUACAUUUAGAAUUAGAAAAUGGGAAUUCGGCAAAUGCAAACGGUUUGGUAAAUGGAAAAAUUCUAUCUUUAUCUAAGCAAAUUAUGAGCAAUAAAGAGAUAAAUUAUACAAUUCCAAUAACAUAUGGAUUAGCAUUAGCAAACAAUGGAAAAGGUUUAAUUUUUAAUUUUGCUAAUAAUGAUUAUGAUUUAAAAACUGUAUUACCAUAUAACAUAAAUAAAAUGACUAUGAAUGUAACUAAUCAAUAAAUUAGAAUUUUUAAUAAAAAAAGGAAACAACGUUCUAAUUUAUAGGCU